rnacentral:rRNA from 1 species
UGUGGCUGGGGGUGAAAGGCCAAUCAAACCGGGAGAUAGCUGGUUCUCCCCGAAAGCUAUUUAGGUAGCGCCUCGUGAACUCAUCUUCGGGGGUAGAGCACUGUUUCGGCUAGGGGGUCAUCCCGACUUACCAACCCGAUGCAAACUGCGAAUACCGAAGAAUGUUAUCACGGGAGACACACGGCGGGUGCUAACGUCCGUCGUGAAGAGGGAAACAACCCAGACCGCCAGCUAAGGUCCCAAAGUCACAGUUAAGUGGGAAACGAUGUGGGAAGGCUCAGACAGCCAGGAUGUUGGCUUAGAAGCAGCCAUCAUUUAAAGAAAGCGUAAUAGCUCACUGGUCGAGUCGGCCUGCGCGGAAGAUGUAACGGGGCUAAACUGUGCACCGAAGCUGCGGCAGCGACGCUUAUGCGUUGUUGGGUAGGGGAGCGUUCUGUAAGCCUGCGAAGGUGUCCUGUGAGGGAUGCUGGAGGUAUCAGAAGUGCGAAUGCUGACAUAAGUAACGAUAAUGCGGGUGAAAAGCCCGCUCGCCGGAAGACCAAGGGUUCCUGUCCAACGUUAAUCGGGGCAGGGUGAGUCGACCCCUAAGGCGAGGCCGAAAGGCGUAGUCGAUGGGAAACGGGUUAAUAUUCCCGUACUUGGUGUUACUGCGAAGGGGGGACGGAGAAGGCUAUGUUGGCCGGGCGACGGUUGUCCCGGUUUAAGCGUGUAGGCUGGUUUUCC